rnacentral:rRNA from 1 species
GUGUCAGCCGCCGCGGUAAUACAUGGGGUGCAAACGUUGCUCGGAAUUAUUGGGCGUAAAGCGCGCGUAGGCGGUUACUCAAGUCGGAUGUGAAAGCCCUCGGCUUAACUGAGGAAGUGCACCCGAAACUGAGUAGCUAGAGUACUAAAGAGGGUCGCGGAAUUCCCGGUGUAGAGGUGAAAUUCGUAGAUAUCGGGAGGAACACCGGUGGCGAAGGCGGCGACCUGGGUAGAUACUGACGCUGAGGCGCGAAAGCGUGGGGAGCAAACAGGAUUAGAUACCCCCGUAGUCC